rnacentral:rRNA from 1 species
AUUGAACGCUGGCGGCAGGCCUAACACAUGCAAGUCGAACGAGUGGCGGACGGGUGAGUAAUGUCUGGGAAACUGCCUGAUGGACGGGGAUAACUACUGGAAACGGUAGCUAAUACCGCAUACCAUCGGAUGUUCCCAGAUGGGAUUAACUAGUAGGUGGGGUAAAGGCUCACCUAGGCGACGAACCCUAGCUGGGCUGCGAGGAUGAAGAGACACGCUGGAACUGAGACACGGUCCCGACUCGUACGGGAGGCAGCAGUGGGGAAUAUUGCUCAAUGGGGUCAAGCCUGAUGCAGCCAGGCCGCGUGUAUGAAGAAGGCCUUCGGGUUGUAAAGUACUUUCAGCGGGGAGGCGUUACCCGCAGAAGAAGCACCGGCUAACUCCGUGCCAGCAGCCGCGGUAAUUC